AACGUAGUGUCUAUUCAAAAUCACCCCAUUGUAGGCAAGGGCGUCUAUGUUUGGUGUCGGUAUUUGGUUUGAACCGUGAAAUCCAACAUCAUUCCAUCCCUAAAAUAUUUAUUAAUGAAUCGUAACCACUGGAUGUUAUAGUUGAGAAGCAUUUUCGACCGUAUACUGCGCUGGUUCAACGCGGUGCUUAAGGUAGAAUGCCAUGAGCAUAGAUAGGAGUAUACUAGACUUCCGGGUUAGAUUGGAAGUGGAUUAUCUACGAAUGAAAUCAGUCGGAGGUCAUCAUAACAGCUCGGAAGGGAAUUUUAUUUGUUUGGUUCUCCGUGAGUCAGCCGACCGUGUGUCUGCAUCCUCGUUUCUCGUCGUGGUGCACGUGCCUCCUUUGGGCCCCGGCGUGGGCGGUUCUGUGUAAAGUAGUGGAAGCGUCUGCGGCUUAGCAGAUAAUUGUCUUAACUCGGCGUGCAUUGUUAAUCCGAGUCGAGUGGUGCCACGUGCCCACUAACCCGAGCCAACCGACCUCCCUGCAUAAUAUCUCAGGGAAUAUUAAGCCGGACGACGUAUGAAAUAACGAAGCUAUAAUCCACCAAUACCACCGCCGCAGUUUACAUGUUCAUCUUGAUAAACGGACUGACACCUGUUGUCUGAGAAACAACGCUCAAUUUAUCCUAAUCUAAUUAUUACGCGGACCAGUUAUUUGUCCGUGAAAAAUUUCCUCCCUCCCUUCUCGACGGUGCAAGAAAAAUGAAAAUUAGACCUUAGAUGGAUGAAUGAAAGGAUGGAUUUCCUUCGCUACGAGCAGACAGCUUAAGUGGCUCAGACA
rnacentral:misc_RNA from 1 species